CUCAAACUCUGGUUUAUAUCACUAUUUAAAAUAAUAUUAUAUAAGUAAAAGAAUUGAAUUUUAUCCACAAAAAAGUACUGAGAAGGAAAGUUUCGUUAAUUUUAAAGAAGUUAUUUAUUAUACCUUUUGUAUCAGGGUUUAUCUAAUUUUGACCAGUAUUGUCAAAUCCCGAAAUAAGGUGAUCUAUGUUAAUUAAAGAUGACUGUUUCAUAAUUCUCUUCAAGAUUAAUGUCGGUGUAAAAAAUAUUUCGUACCUUUAUAUCUGGUUGGCAUAAGACUCCUUUAGGGUACUCCACAAGGAAGAUUUUCUAGGGGACGAGCUCUAGAAAAAAUUACAUCAAACCACCCUCAGUGAUAUGAAUAGGCUUAAAAGUUGCCAGGGUGUAAUAACCAGGCUCACUUAGAUAAUAAUUUAAAGUUGAUUAAUUCAACCUAGCCAGUGCUGGUUAUUAAUAUCCAGCAGUUAUAAUGAUAAAAUUAGUAUAAGUAUAAAAAUAUAAUAG
rnacentral:rRNA from 1 species